rnacentral:rRNA from 1 species
UACGUAGGCGGAAAAUUAAGUCAGUAGUGAAAUCCUGCAGCUUAACUGUAGAACUGUUAUUGAUACUGGUUUUCUUGAAUAUAGUUGAGGUAGGCGGAAUGUGUAAUGUAGCGGUGAAAUGCUUAGAUAUUACACAGAACACCGAUUGCGAAGGCAGCUUACUAAGCUAUGAUUGACGCUGAGGUACGAAAGCGUGGGAGCGAACAGGAUUAGAUACCCUGGUAGUCC